CAAUAACUUUAUGUAAAUAACUUCAUUGGAAAUUUGCCAAUAUAAAAUGUUGCUGAUGAAGUUUUUUUAUUGUUUUAUACAAUAAACAAUGUAUAUUCACUUUUACUACCAACCAAUCUUUACCAUUCAGUGAUAACAAGCACUUUAUUUUACAUUUUAAUAUUUUAUGAUGUAUUUAAAAGAGUAGUUAUUGUUGCAAACUCCAUUAGAAUUUUGAAUUGAUAUCAGUUUUGGAAAAAGGGAAACGGGGAUGUGAAAAAAGGGGGGGUUAAAUUUUUCUCAUUUCAAAUUUCAUAAAUAAAAAGAAAAUUUCUUCAAACAUUUUUUUGAGAGGAUUAAUAUUCAACAGCAUAGUGAAUUGCUAAAAGGCAAAAACAAACUUUUAAGUUCAUUAGACCACAUUCAUUCUGUGUCAGAAACCUAUGCUGUGUCAACUAUUUAAUUUUAGAUUUAAAAAGUUUGAAGAAGAAAUCUUUAAUUGUAAAAUUUGUAAAAUCUUGACAUUUGUUUUGUGUAAAAAAAAAACCAUGUAAUGUCAAAAAUUUGAUCACAAUCCAAAUUCAGAGCUGUAUCACGCUAGAAUGUUUUGUCCAUACUUGCCCCAACUGUUCAGGGUUCGACCUCUGCGGUCGUAUAAAGCUGCGCCCUGCGGAGCACCUGGUUAUUUUUGUCGCAGAAAGCUCGACAUAGGGAUAGUGAUACAUACUUUCUGUUUCUAAUUUAAACACGCUACAAUUUUGUCUGCUGGUGUAUGUCCUGUAACAUGCCCGAUGAUACACAACUCUUUCAUCUAAGGAAAGUAGAUUAUUUAGAGAAGUUAGUUGUUGCAUCACCCUGUCGCACACCAAAUCUCUGCG
rnacentral:lncRNA from 1 species